rnacentral:rRNA from 1 species
ACGGGUGAGUAAUACGUGAGUAACCUGCCCUUGACUCUGGGAUAAGCCUGGGAAACCGGGUCUAAUACUGGAUACGACCCCUUGUCGCAUGGUGGGGGGUGGAAAGGGUUUGACUGGUUUUGGAUGGGCUCACGGCCUAUCAGCUUGUUGGUGGGGUAAUGGCUCACCAAGGCGACGACGGGUAGCCGGCCUGAGAGGGUGACCGGCCACACUGGGACUGAGACACGGCCCAGACUCCUACGGGAGGCAGCAGUGGGGAAUAUUGCACAAUGGGCGGAAGCCUGAUGCAGCGACGCCGCGUGAGGGAUGACGGCCUUCGGGUUGUAAACCUCUUUCAGCAGGGAAGAAGCCACAAGUGACGGUACCUGCAGAAGAAGCGCCGGCUAACUACGUGCCAGCAGCCGCGGUAAUACGUAGGGCGCAAGCGUUGUCCGGAAUUAUUGGGCGUAAAGAGCUCGUAGGCGGUUUGUCGCGUCUGCUGUGAAAGCCCGGGGCUCAACCCCGGGUCUGCAGUGGGUACGGGCAGACUAGAGUGCAGUAGGGGAGACUGGAAUUCCUGGUGUAGCGGUGAAAUGCGCAGAUAUCAGGAGGAACACCGAUGGCGAAGGCAGGUCUCUGGGCUGUUACUGACGCUAAGGAGCGAAAGCAUGGGGAGCGAACAGGAUUAGAUACCCUGGUAGUCCAUGCCGUAAA